UAAAAACCAGGCGUCCCCUCCUCCAUCAUCCUUUUUUUUGAACGGCAAAUUUAAACCUCCCCCUCGUCCUUCAUCCUAUUCUAUGCUUUCUUUCAGUUUAUAGCUGACAAUCACGUCUAAUUCCAAUCCGCCGGGCCGAUGAACAAUUGCUCCUCAUCUACACCGCAACAGCACCAUCCUUCCACCCUCCUAUAGCCCUACCCCGCAACCGCCCGCUGCCGCUUUCUCCUCCCGGACUCCACUCCCGACGUGUCUUCAAGGCUAGACCCCUUACAUUUAUCUGUUAACCUAUCGGUCGCUGAAAAAAAACCUAAAGACGUACAAAUCAACACCGAUCGGACCAACGUCAUGGGUCGUGGAAGCCAAGGUGGAUCCGAUGAGAACAACUAUGGGUGAAAUUAUGAGAUCUGGUAGAAAGGAGUGUAUACAAAGGAAUGCCAUUGAUGUAUGAAUGACAUGGUAAAAGGUAUUGGGGAGCAGCCAUGGGCUUGCAGGGAUAAUGCAUGUAUUGAUGGACAUAGUUUUAACUGAAGAUGAUGAGUUAAAAGAUAUAAAAAGUAUACUUUUUUACAUGUUUAAGAAUCCUAUUCCCAAGUGGAAGUUAUCCAUCGAGUGAAGGUAGUGAAUCUGUCCGUUUGGUGCAUUUGUUUGUGUUUACCUAUUUUUAAUAUCCGUUUAUUUGUUUUGAUAUCC
rnacentral:lncRNA from 1 species